rnacentral:rRNA from 1 species
UACAGAGGUCCCAAGCGUUGUUCGGAUUCAUUGGGCGUAAAGGGUGCGUAGGCGGCGGAGCAAGUCAGGUGUGAAAUCCCGGGGCUCAACCCCGGAACUGCACUUGAUACUGCUUUGCUAGAGUACUGGAGAGGAGAUUGGAAUUUACGGUGUAGCAGUGAAAUGCGUAGAUAUCGUAAGGAAGACCAGUGGCGAAGGCGAAUCUCUGGACAGUUACUGACGCUGAGGCACGAAGGCCAGGGGAGCAAACGGG